rnacentral:rRNA from 1 species
GACGAACGCUGGCGGCGUGCUUAACACAUGCAAGUCGAACGGAAAGGCCCGCCACCUUGGUGGUGGGUACUCGAGUGGCGAACGGGUGAGUAACACGUGGGUGAUCUGCCCCGCACUGUGGGAUAAGCCUGGGAAACUGGGUCUAAUACCACAUACGACCAUGGCGUAGGGGUCAUGGUGGAAAGCUUUUGCGGUGUGGGAUGAGCCCGCGGCCUAUCAGCUUGUUGGUGGGGUAAUGGCCUACCAAGGCGGCGACGGGUAGCCGGCCUGAGAGGGUGGACGGCCACAUUGGGACUGAGACACGGCCCAGACUCCUACGGGAGGCAGCAGUGGGGAAUAUUGCACAAUGGGCGCAAGCCUGAUGCAGCGACGCCGCGUGGGGGAUGGAAGGCCUUCGGGUUGUAAACUCCUUUCGCCCGGGACGAAGCCCACCUGGUGGUGACGUACCGGAGAAAAGCACCGCA